UUAGUCUAAAGAAAGCAUUGCAAUUGGCACUGUUUCUUACUGUUCAUUGUACCUGAAUUUCACUUUAUUUACGGGCAUGCCAUUCCUUUAAAAAAAUGGGCUUUGUGGGUUUGGGCUCCGGAUGGGAUUUUAUUUGCUUGGUUGGAAUUGUAUUGGGCGGAUGGGAAUGGGGUUUGGGCACAGAAUCACCCACAGAGAGGAGUCACCUGCAGAUUAGAGAGAGAUGCGAGCUGACAGAAUGGAGAGAGAGUGAGGGCCGCCAAUUUUGACUCGGGGAGAGAUGGUUAUGCUUCGGGUGGUUGGGGGAGGACAGAGGGACUGGCAUAUUGGAGAGAGAUUGGUGCUAGGGCUUUCGACUCAGUGAGAGAGAGAUUUAUCUAGGUCCUCUGUCAGGACCUAUGGGGUUUCCUCUGAUUUUAGAGAGAGAUAGAGGGAAAGAGAGAGAGAAAGAGAGAGAGAGAGAGAGAAGGACGGGGAAGGCGUGGUUGUGUGCAGUUUGUGGGGUUGGCCGGUCAGGAAGGGGUGACUGAGGGAGGUAUGGGUGACUUUGAGGGACUGACAGAUUGGAUAAAGAUGGGAGCUAGAGAUUUUUUUAGGUGGUUUAGUUCAUCGACAGUCUAUUGUUUUCCCUGGUAGAAAGGUUCAGUCUUGCUAUAUCCUCCGACUCACUCCACACUGUCUCUGUCUUUGUGAUUCUGGGUUCUGUUCUGCCAUUUUUUCUUCUCAAAGAAACCUAAUUGCAGG